GAUGAACGCUAGCGAUAGGCUUAACACAUGCAAGUCGAGGGGCAGCAUGAACAAAGCUUGCUUUGUUUGAUGGCGACCGGCGCACGGGUGCGUAACACGUAUGCAACUUACCCAUAAAACGGGGAUAACCCGGAGAAAUUCGGACUAAUACCCGAUGGUAUUAAGAGAAGGCAUCUUCAUUUAAUUAAAGAUUUAUCGAUUAUGGAUAGGCAUGCGCAUGAUUAGCUAGUUGGUGAGGUAACGGCUCACCAAGGCGACGAUCAUUAGGGGUUCUGAGAGGAAGGUCCCCCACACUGGUACUGAGAUACGGACCAG
rnacentral:rRNA from 1 species